rnacentral:rRNA from 1 species
UACGGAGGGGGCUAGCGUUGUUCGGAAUUACUGGGCGUAAAGCGCACGUAGGCGGCUUUGUAAGUUAGAGGUGAAAGCCCAGGGCUUAACCCUGGAAUUGCCUUUAAGACUGCAUCGCUAGAAUUGUGGAGAGGUAAGUGGAAUUCCGAGUGUAGAGGUGAAAUUCGUAGAUAUUCGGAAGAACACCAGUGGCGAAGGCGGUUGCCUGGGGCUUUGCUGACGCUGAUGCGCGAAAGCGUGGGGAGCGAUCCGG